AGCAGUAGCCGCGGGAAUACGGAGGGUGCAAGCGUUAAUCGGAAUUACUGGGCGUAAAGCGCACGCAGGCGGUCUGACAAGUCAGAUGUGAAAUCCCCGGGCUUAACCUGGGAACUGCAUUUGAAACUGUCAGGCUGGAGUCUUGUAGAGGGGGGUAGAAUUCCAGGUGUAGCGGUGAAAUGCGUAGAGAUCUGGAGGAAUACCGGUGGCGAAGGCGGCCCCCUGGACAAAGACUGACGCUCAGGUGCGAAAGCGUGGGGAGCAAACAGGAUUAGAUACCCGGGUAGUCCCUGUCUCUUAUAA
rnacentral:rRNA from 1 species